UACGUAGGGGGCAAGCGUUGUCCGGAUUUAUUGGGCGUAAAGAGCGUGUAGGCGGCCAGAUAGGUCCGUUGUGAAAACUCGAGGCUCAACCUCGAGACGCCGAUGGAAACCAUUUGGCUAGAGUCCGGAAGAGGAGAGUGGAAUUCCUGGUGUAGCGGUGAAAUGCGUAGAGAUUAGGAAGAACACCAGUGGCGAAGGCGACUUACUGGACUGUAACUGACGCUGAGGCAUGAAAGCGUGGGGAGCAAACAGG
rnacentral:rRNA from 1 species